UACUCUGCUGUACCAUUUUUAGAUGUUUAUAUAUAUAUCAAAUACCCCAAUAAUUACACAAUGAUAUUAAUGAAACAAAAUGUACAACAGAAAUUCUAUAACUUUAAAGCUUGAUGACAUGCUGUUAAUUUCUUUUUUGCAUUUGGGUUUUUUGAUGUGUGUUAUAUAGAAACUUAAAUAUGUACGGUACAUCAAUCUUAUGUCUACAGAUUUGAGAAUGAAAGGAUUUAAACAUGUCAGUGCAUAACUUGGCAUUCCAAACAGGCCAGGGAUUGCGAUACAAUGGAAAAGAGCUCCUUCCAAGACGGAUAAAUAACCAGAACCUGGUAUACCGAUUGUUCCACAGACAGACACAUACACCAAGCCCGGGGACUCACUUCCAUCAAGUGCGGUCACUAUACACUAAUGUGUUCCCUAACUACACAGUUGUCAAUGUGGAGAAGCCUCCGUGCUUUCUCAGGAAGUUCUCUCCAGACGGGAAGUAUUUCAUUGCCUUCUCCUCAGACCAGACGUCUCUAGAGAUAUACACCUUUCAGGGCUCUGCAGCUGCAGAAGACUUGCUACAAAAUGUGCAUGGAGAUUUUAUGUCACUGAACAAUGAUCAUGCUUCAGUUAACAUUCGUGCCAAACUCUUUGGUAGGUUCUUCAAGUUAAGACACAAAACACUUGUGGCUAAGAAUGGAGAACAGUUGAACAGAGAGUGCAGUCUGUUCACAGACAAUGGGAACUAUGUCAUUGUGGGGUCCUGCCAUGAACAUACCAGAGGAACCCCAUCCAGUUGUUUCAUGACAUCUAUCAGAACAAUGAGUCUAUGUCGCCCAACCAUAAAUACCAGCUGGAGGAUUACUCCCUCCAUAUAAUUGACUUGGAGACAGGGAUAUUAUGUGAUACCAGGCAUUUCAAGUUUGAUAAGAUCUUUCUCUCCCACAAUCAGGGAUUAUACCUGUAUAAGAACACACUGGCCAUUUUGUCAGUGCAACAACAGACCAUUCACAUCUUUCAUGUUACUCCAACUGGAAAGUUUGUGGAUGUUCGAAGCAUUGGAAGAUUCUGUUAUGAAGAUGAUCAGUUGUUCUUCAGUCAGGGGAGCAAGAGGAGUUCUGGCCAAGUUAUCAGACCUUAUGCGGAGCAGACAAUAAAUUCCCUGAAGCACAGACUUAUGGUGUUCCUUUUCCACCGGGCACAGGCAGAAGGCACUUCCUAUGCUCUUCGCAAAUUCUACCAGUAUUUUGAUCAGUUCAAAGUGUUGAGAAUGUGGAAGAUGCAACUUCUGGAUGAGAAUCAUCUGUUGAUCAAAUAUGCCAGUGAAGAUGUGGUGACUUUGAAAUGUCAGGAUCCAAACUCUCAACCUUCCUUCUUUGUUGUCUACAACAUGAUGACAACUGAAGUGUUGGCCGUCUUUGAAAACACCUCUGAAAAACUUUUGGAGCUCUUUGAGAAUUUCUGUGAUUUGUUCCGGAAUGCGACCCUGCACAGUGAAUCUCAGUUCCCUUGCUCUGCCUCCAGCAACAUUCAUGCCCGACAAAUUCAGCAGAGGUUCAAACACACAAUCAUCAAUGCUAAAUUUGGGGGCCACACAGAGGCAGUGAAGAGACUCCUGGCCCAGCUACCCAUCAGCUCCCAGUCAUACAGCAGCAGUCCAUACUUAGACCUGGCCCUCUUCAGCUAUGAUGACAAGUGGGUGUCCAUGAUGGAGAGGCCAAAAGCUUGUGGGGAUCACCCUAUCAGGUUUUAUGCACGGGAUUCAGGUUUACUCAAGUUUAAGAUAUAUGCUGGAAUGCUGGGUAAAAGUCCAUCCCCAACAGCUCGCCGUCUGGUCGCCUUCACAUUUCAUCCUAGUGAACCAUUUGCCAUCAGUGUUCAAAGAACAAAUGCUGAAUAUGUGGUCAAUUUCCAUGUUAGACAUUGCAUCUGAAGGCAUUUAUACCAUAGUAUAUUUUAAUAUCUUACAGUACUGUUUUUUUGUUAUAUUUCUAUACUUGAUGAUAUUUAUUUGCCAUGCAUUUGUGUAAUAUUUCUUGUGAUCUGUAAUGAAAAAUCUUGAUAUUUAC
rnacentral:misc_RNA from 1 species